AGUGAACGCUGGCGGUAGGCCUAACACAUGCAAGUCGAACGGCAGCACAGUAAGAGCUUGCUCUUAUGGGUGGCGAGUGGCGGACGGGUGAGGAAUAUAUCGGAAUCUACUUUUUCGUGGGGGAUAACGUAGGGAAACCUACGCUAAUACCGCAUACGACCUACGGGUGAAAGCAGGGGAUCUUCGGACCUUGCGCGAAUGAAUGAGCCGAUGUCGGAUUAGCUAGUUGGCGGGGUAAAGGCCCACCAAGGCGACGAUCCGUAGCUGGUCUGAGAGGAUGAUCAGCCACACUGGAGCUGAGACACGGUCCUGACUCCUACGGGAGGCAGCAGUGGGGAAUAUUGGACAAUGGGCGCAAGCCUGAUCCAGCCAUACCGCGUGGGUGACGAAGACCUUCGGGUUGUAAAGCCCUUUUGUUGGGAAAGAAAAGCAGCAGGUUAAUACCCCGCGGUUCUGACGGUACCCAAAGAAUAAGCACCGGCUAACUUCGUG
rnacentral:rRNA from 1 species